CUCCGGCGGCCCGGGUGCUUUCACCUCCCACGAGCGGGAGCGGGAGUGGGGCGGGGUUGGGGAUGGGCCAUCCUGCCGCGGCUGGGGCAGCAGCCUUCCCCCGGGUCCGGCGCCGAAGCUUUCUCCCCCGGGGCGGGAAUGGAGGCUGGACCCCUGUCCCCAAAGCCGAGGCUCGGUCCGCGCUCCUGCGACUAGGCUGAAGCUGCUCCCCUCUCCCCGCCGCCUCCGGCCUGGAGCGGAGACUAACGUCCGGCCGUACACCCACACUGGGACUGGGCUGUGAUCCCGAGGCCGCAGCUCCUCUCUCGGCCCGCCACCUCCCCCUGGGCCCACCUGCUCCCUCAGCCACAGGCCACCUCGGGGCUCUGGGACUGGACGGCCGCAGCCUCUUCCCUCUCCCCUCGGGAACGGCUCCACUCCGUCCCCUGCACCGCCUGCAGCCGCGGCCGCUCAGCAGCUGUGUCUCCUGGCACCUCCUCGCCAUACCCAGCAGAGCAGUCGGAGCAGACAGCCAGGCUGCCCGGAAGAGUUUUUGGUGGGGUUUCUGCAUUGAGGUGGAAACCCAGCAGAACCUGCCCUUUCUCCCUUCCCCUGCCCCGCAAGGCAGCCCACCCCGACCCUGAGAUCCCGGGUUUGGAGACUCCUGCUGAGAGUGAACAGUAGGAGGAUUCCCCAAAGCUUCCAGCUUGCCACCUGGAAGAAGGUCACUUUCUUUUGAGCAAAGGAGAUAAUGGGAGGUACCCUGCCAAUGUUCACUGAGAGGCGGGGGUGACAUGGGCCACGGUUGCUCUGGGAGGGUUGUGGCACUCGGGGCUGGGUGGCUCUCCCUAAGCUUGCUCUGACAAAAGAGUUUUGAGUUGGUCUUUUGGCUGAGCCUGCCCAGGAAGGCAGGCUCCUGCAGGAGUCUUGGAGGGUCGGAUGCGGCGCCGGAUGAGGAUGAGGCGUGGCGGAAGAUGCGUUUGGCUCUGCAGACACUGCAUCGGGCAGCAGGGGACUCUGGGAGGCUGGUGCAGCCAGAAGGCAUGGCUCUUGACAGCCUUCUAGUAGAAUCUCUGGAAUUGUGCAUGGCAGAAGAGGAAAGAAACUAACGGGUAUUGAGCACCUACUUUGUGCCAGGCCCAGGCCAGGUCCCCCCCGCCUCCAGCCAGCCUGUGCAGACUUGCUGCCUGCUGUGUCACCGGGAACGCAAAGGCUGGGAAGAAGGCCCUUCUCAAAAUGGACUGGUGUUGCAGGGUGAGAAGCUGCCCCCUGACUUCAUGCCAAAGCUCGUCAAGAAUCUCCUAGGCGAGAUGCCUCUGUGGGUCUGCCAGAGUUGCCGAAAGAGCAUGGAGGAAGAUGAAAGGCAGACAGGUCGAGAACAUGCAGUGGCGAUCUCCUUGUCACACACAUCCUGCAAAUCACAGUCUUGUGGAGAUGACUCUCAUUCGUCCUCGUCUUCCUCUUCAUCAUCCUCAUCCUCGUCCUCUUCUUCCUGCCCUGGGAACUCAGGAGACUGGGAUCCUAGCUCGUUCCUGUCGGCCCAUAAGCUCUCGGGCCUCUGGAAUUCCCCACAUUCCAGUGAGGCCAUGCCAGGCAGCUCUCUUGGGAGUCCUCCUACCAUUCCCGGUGAGGCUUUCCCCGUCUCGGAGCACCACCAGCACUCAGACCUCACUGCUCCCCCUAACAGCCCCACCGGCCACCACCCCCAGCCAGCAUCUCUAAUCCCGUCUCACCCCAGCUCCUUUGGCUCCCCACCCCACCCACACCUGCUGCCCACCACCCCGGCAGCACCUUUCCCUGCCCAGGCUUCAGAGUGCCCUGUUGCUGCUGCCACCGCCCCCCACACUCCAGGGCCAUGUCAGAGCUCCCAUCUGCCCUCCACCAGCAUGCCACUCCUGAAGAUGCCCCCACCAUUGUCGGGGUGCAGCCACCCCUGCAGCGGGCACUGUGGUGAGCACUGCAGCGGGCCUCUCCUCCCACCCCCGAGCUCUCAGCCACCCCCUAGUGCUCACAGGGAUCCCGGGUGCAAGGGGCACAAGUUUGCACACAGUGGCCUGGCUUGCCAGCUGCCCCAGCCCUGCGAGGCAGAUGAGGGGCUGGGUGAGGAAGAGGAUAGCAGCUCUGAGCGAAGCUCCUGCACCUCGUCCUCCACCCACCAGAGAGAUGGGAAGUUCUGUGACUGCUGCUACUGUGAGUUCUUCGGCCACAAUGCGCCGCCCGCUGCCCCGACGAGUCGGAACUAUACCGAGAUCCGGGAGAAGCUCCGCUCGAGGCUGACCAGGCGGAAAGAGGAGCUGCCCAUGAAGGGGGGCGCCCUGGGCGGGAUCCCUGGGGAGCCCGCCGUGGACCACCGAGAUGUGGAUGAGCUGCUGGAAUUCAUCAACAGCACGGAGCCCAAAGUCCCCAACAGCGCCAGGGCCGCCAAGCGGGCCCGGCACAAGCUGAAAAAGAAGGCCAAUCCGUUCCUCACUCACUUGAAUGGAGUAAGCAUUACCCACUCAAACACCACAGCCCUGGGUUCCACUCCAGCCUGGCUCUCCCUUUCUACAGCUCAAGAAAAGCAUGAAAAGGAGAAGGCCCAGUUGGCAGCAGAAUCUCUAAAGCAGGCGAAUCGUGUUUCUGGAAGCCGGGAGCAAAGGCCUGCCAGGGAGAGGCUCUUGGAGUGGCCCGACCGGGAACUGGAUCGGGUCAACAGCUUCCUGAGCAGCCGUCUGCAGGAGAUCAAAAACACUGUCAAAGACUCCAUCCGUGCCAGCUUCAGUGUGUGUGAGCUCAGCAUGGACAGCAAUGGCUUCUCUAAGGAGGGGGCUGCUGAACCCGAGCCUCAGAGUCUACCCCCAUCAAACCUCAGUGGCUCCUCAGAGCAGCAGCCUGACAUCAACCUUGACUUGUCCCCUUUGACUUUGGGCUCCCCUCAGAACCACACGUUACAAGCUCCAGGCGAGCCAGCCCCACCAUGGGCAGAAAUGAGAGGCCCCCACCCACCAUGGACAGAGGUGAGGGGGCCCCCUCCCGGUAUCGCUCCCGAGAACGGGCUCGUGAGGAGACUCAACACCGUGCCCAACCUGUCCCGGGUGAUCUGGGUCAAGACACCCAAGUCGGGCUACCCCAGCUCCGAGGAGCCAAGCUCAAAGGAAGUUCCCAGUUGCAAGCAGGAGCUGCCUGAGCCUGUGUCCUCAGGUGGGAAGCCACGGAAGGGCAAGAGGCAGGGCAGUCAGGCCAAGAAGAGCGAGGCAAGCCCAGCCCCCCGGCCCCCAGCCAGCCUAGAGGUUCCCAGUGCCAAAGGCCAGGUUGCUGGCCCCAAGCAACCAGGCAAGGUCCUAGAGCCUCCCAAAGUAGGCAGCUGUUCCGAGGCUGGAGAGGGGAGCCGGGGGAGCCGGCCAGGACCAGGUUGGGCUGGCAGCCCCAAAACUGAGAAGGAGAAGGGCAGCUCCUGGCGAAACUGGCCAGGUGAGGCCAAGGCACGGCCUCAGGAGCAGGAGUCUCUGCAGCCCUCAGGCCCAGCAAGGCCACAGAGCUUGCCCCAGGGCAAGGGCCGCAGCCGCCGGAGCCGCAACAAGCAGGAGAAGCCAGCCUCCUCCUUGGACGAUGUGUUCCUGCCCAAGGACAUGGACGGGGUGGAGAUGGAUGAGACUGACCGAGAGGUGGAGUACUUUAAGAGAUUCAGAGGGACGACUGUACUUAAGGGAAUGAUGGAAGCCAGCCCAGCAGAGCUAGAGAGUCAAACACCAGAUGAGGAAGGAAGUAGAAUCCCAAGGCAGUUUCACUGUCUUCAUAUGUUGUCCCCUGGACCCAGUCCAGAAGCCACCAAGCCAGCAAAGCUCCUAUGCCUGCUAAACACUAACACCUGAGAGCCAAAGAGGUUCUGUUUGGAUUCUGCAAAGCAGACUCGUCAGAAAGUUGCUGUGAACUGGACCAACUUCAGCCUCAAGAAAACCACUCCCAGCACAGCUCAGUGAGGCCCUGCCCAGGCUGAGCUUCUUCAGGGCGUCCUGAGGCCCCGACUGCCAGCUGAAAGCCUACAAUUUUUCCGUGUGCCCCACCUACCCGCCCAAGACCUUCUCUGCUCCCCACCAUCCUGGACCAACCAAAAUCUGAACGGAUGCCACACUGUGCUGGGGCCCCUUGACCUCAGCAGAGCCGCUUCCUGGUGCUACGCAGCCUCCACACUCAGAGCCCGUGGACUGGGCUGGCCUAAGGGCCGGGGCUGAUGGUACUGCUAGCCCAACACUGCUCUCUUUGUGUUCGGUUUUUUUGUUUUUGUUUUUAUUUUAUUUUUUUCCAAUUCUUUACUUUUGAUACUGUGAAGAUCUUUCAUGCCGAAAGAUAAAGCAACAUUUGGACACAGA